rnacentral:rRNA from 1 species
AGAUUGAACGCUGGCGGAAUGCUUUACACAUGCAAGUCGAACGGCAGCACGGGGGCAACCCUGGUGGCGAGUGGCGAACGGGUGAGUAACACAUCGGAACGUGCCCAUGUCGUGGGGGAUAACGUAGCGAAAGCUACGCUAAUACCGCAUACGAUCUACGGAUGAAAGCGGGGGAUCGCAAGACCUCGCGCGAUUGGAGCGGCCGAUGGCAGAUUAGGUAGUUGGUGGGUAAAGGCUCACCAAGCCUUCGAUCUGUAGCUGGUCUGAGAGGACGACCAGCCACACUGGGACUGAGACACGGCCCAGACUCCUACGGGAGCAGCAGUGGGGAAUUUUGGACAAGUGGGCGACAAGCCUG